rnacentral:rRNA from 1 species
CCAAUAGCGUAUAUUAAAGUUGUUGCAGUUAAAAAGCUCGUAGUUGAAUUUCGGGAUUGACGUGAUGGUCGUGCCUUAAGGGGUAUGAACUGUCGCAGUUGAUUUCUCACCUUCUGGAGAAGCUUGAUGUCCUUAAUUGGGUGUCAUGUGGAACCAGGACCUUUACCUUGAAAAAAUUAGAGUGUUUAAAGCAGGCAUUUUGCUCGAAUACAUUAGCAUG